AUUGAACGCUGGCGGCAUGCCUUACACAUGCAAGUCGAACGGCAGCGGACCUUCGGGUGCCGGCGAGUGGCGAACGGGUGAGUAAUGCAUCGGAACGUGCCAUUGAGUGGGGAUAACGUAGCGAAAGUUACGCUAAUACCGCAUAUUCUGUGAGCAGGAAAGCAGGGGACCGCAAGGCCUUGCGCUCUUUGAGCGGCCGAUGUCAGAUUAGCUAGUUGGUGAGGUAAAGGCUUACCAAGGCGACGAUCUGUAGCGGGUCUGAGAGGAUGAUCCGCCACACUGGAACUGAGACACGGUCCAGACUCCUACGGGAGGCAGCAGUGGGGAAUUUUGGACAAUGGGCGCAAGCCUGAUCCAGCCAUGCCGCGUGAGUGAAGAAGGCCUUCGGAUUGUAAAGCUCUUUCGGCCGGGAAGAAAUCGCAUGGGUUAAUACCCUGUGUGGAUGACGGUACCGGAAUAAGAAGCACCGGCUAACUACGUG
rnacentral:rRNA from 1 species